CGGGGGGAGCAAGCGUUGUUCGGAUUUACUGGGCGUAAAGGGCGCGUAGGCGGCCACCGCAAGUCGACUGUGAAAUCUCCGGGCUUAACCCGGAAAGGUCAGCCGAUACUGCGGGGCUAGAGUGCAGAAGGGGCAACUGGAAUUCUCGGUGUAGCGGUGAAAUGCGUAGAUAUCGAGAGGAACACCUGCGGCGAAGGCGGGUUGCUGGGCUGACACUGACGCUGAGGCGCGAAAGCUAGGGGAGCGAACGGGAUUAGAUUCCCCGGUAGUCCUAGCCUUAAACGAUGAAUGCUUGGUGUCUGGGGGUUUUAUAGUCCCCGGGUGCCGUCGCUAACGCUUUAAGCAUUCCGCCUGGGGAGUACGGUCGCAGACUG
rnacentral:rRNA from 1 species